rnacentral:rRNA from 1 species
GAUGAACGCUGGCGGCGUGCCUAAUACAUGCAAGUCGAGCGAACAGAUGAGGAGCUUGCUCCUCUGACGUUAGCGGCGGACGGGUGAGUAACACGUGGAUAACCUCCCUAUAAGACUGGGAUAACUUCGGGAAACCGGAUCUAAUACCGGAUAAUAUAUUGAACCGCAUGGUUCAAUAGUGAAAGACGUUUUUUCUGUCUCUUAUACAUUGUUCCGCGCCGCAUUAGCUAGUUGGUAAGGUAACGGCUUACCAAGGCAACGAUGCGUAGCCGACCUGAGAGGGUGAUCGGCCACACUGGAAGGGAGACACGGACAAGAGGACUACGGGAGGAAGCAGUAGGGAAUCUGACGAAAUGGGCGAAAGCAUGACGGAGCAACGGCGAGUGAGGGAUGAAGGUCUUCGGAUCGUAAAACUCUGUUAUUAGGGAAGAACAAAUGUGUAAGUAAAUAUGCACGUAGUGACGGUAACUAAAAAGAAAGCAACGGCUAACUACGUG